UUUAAGAUUGAUUUUGUCUUAGUUUUGAUUAAAUUAAUUGUUAAAUAAUAUUAAAUAUGAAUUUUUGUGUGAUUUUGUUUUAUCUAAAUGAUAAUUUUGUUUAUAUUUGUAGUUUUUAGUUUUGAUUAACAGAUGAUUCUGGAAUCAGUUAAUUUAUUUUAGGAUUGUUUAAGGUUAUGCCAGCAAACGCGGUUAUAUAAUCAAUCCAAAUUAAUUUUUUUGGUUAUUAUUUAUUUAUUAUUUUUGAAGGUUAAUGUAUGUUUUAAAGGUGAAAUUUUAAAUAUACUUAUAUUUUUUAGGUUGAGAUUAUAGGAAGGUUAGUUAAAAAACUAGGAUUAGAUACCCUAUUAUUCUAACUGUGAAUUGUUGACCAUAGUACUAUUAGUUAAGGUCUUUAAAUUAAAAGGAUUUGGCGGUAAUUUAGUCUUUUCAGAGGAAUCUGUUCUGUGAUUGAUAAUCCACGUUGGAUUUAACUUUAAUUAUCAUUUGUAUAUCUCUGUCAUUGAAUGUUUUAUUAGGAUAUUUUCUUUUAUUAUUAUUUAAUAAAUGUCAGGUCAAGGUGCAGUUAUA
rnacentral:rRNA from 1 species